AAUAAACCUGUGAGCAAGAGGAGUAGGAAUGAUUACUUAUACUCAGAGAAUCGCUAGUUGGUGAGAAUGCGGUUAUAAAGAUUAUUCUGAAUGGACUUGUGAGGGAAGCCCGAAAUUUUUUAGAGUAGGCGCUUACGGGAACCUUGUCCGUUAUCAGUAAGGUGUAUAUGAUUGUAUACAAAAGGAGUGGGCGAUUUAUCGUCAAUUUGGGUGGUACCGCAGAGCUUUCAAGCUUUUGUCCCUUUU
rnacentral:ncRNA from 1 species